rnacentral:rRNA from 1 species
UGAUUUCUUUCUCUUAGAUUGACGCUGGCGGCAGGCCUAACACAUGCAAGUCGAACGGUAACAGGAAGCAGCUUGCUGCUUUGCUGACGAGUGGCGGACGGGUGAGUAAUGUCUGGGAAACUGCCUGAUGGAGGGGGAUAACUACUGGAAACGGUAGCUAAUACCGCAUAACGUCGCAAGACCAAAGAGGGGGACCUUCGGGCCUCUUGCCAUCGGAUGUGCCCAGAUGGGAUUAGCUUGUUGGUGGGGUAACGGCUCACCAAGGCGACGAUCCCUAGCUGGUCUGAGAGGAUGACCAGCCACACUGGAACUGAGACACGGUCCAGACUCCUACGGGAGGCAGCAGUGGGGAAUAUUGCACAAUGGGCGCAAGCCUGAUGCAGCCAUGCCGCGUGUAUGAAGAAGGCCUUCGGGUUGUAAAGUACUUUCAGCGGGGAGGAAGGGAGUAAAGUUAAUACCUUUGCUCAUUGACGUUACCCGCAGAAGAAGCACCGGCUAACUCCGUGCCAGCAGCCGCGGUAAUACGGAGGGUGCAAGCGUUAAUCGGAAUUACUGGGCGUAAAGCGCACGCAGGCGGUUUGUUAAGUCAGAUGUGAAAUCCCCGGGCUCAACCUGGGAACUGCAUCUGAUACUGGCAAGCUUGAGUCUCGUAGAGGGGGGUAGAAUUCCAGGUGUAGCGGUGAAAUGCGUAGAGAUCUGGAGGAAUACCGGUGGCGAAGGCGGCCCCCUGGACGAAGACUGACGCUCAGGUGCGAAAGCGUGGGGAGCAAACAGGAUUAGAUACCCUGGUAGUCCACGCCGUAAACGAUGUCGACUUAGGCGUCGAUGUCGACUGGAGGUUGUGCCCUUGAGGCGUGGCUUCCGGAGCUAACGCGUUAAGUCGACCGCCUGGGGAGUACGGCCGCAAGGUUAAAACUCAAAUGAAUUGACGGGGGCCCGCACAAGCGGUGGAGCAUGUGGUUUAAUUCGAUGCAACGCGAAGAACCUUACCUGGUCUUGACAUCCACAGAACUUUCCAGAGAUGGAUUGGUGCCUUCGGGAACUGUGAGACAGGUGCUGCAUGGCUGUCGUCAGCUCGUGUUGUGAAAUGUUGGGUUAAGUCCCGCAACGAGCGCAACCCUUAUCCUUUGUUGCCAGCGGUCCGGCCGGGAACUCAAAGGAGACUGCCAGUGAUAAACUGGAGGAAGGUGGGGAUGACGUCAAGUCAUCAUGGCCCUUACGACCAGGGCUACACACGUGCUACAAUGGCGCAUACAAAGAGAAGCGACCUCGCGAGAGCAAGCGGACCUCAUAAAGUGCGUCGUAGUCCGGAUUGGAGUCUGCAACUCGACUCCAUGAAGUCGGAAUCGCUAGUAAUCGUGGAUCAGAAUGCCACGGUGAAUACGUUCCCGGGCCUUGUACACACCGCCCGUCACACCAUGGGAGUGGGUUGCAAAAGAAGUAGGUAGCUUAACCUUCGGGAGGGCGCUUACCACUUUGUGAUUCAUGACUGGGGUGAGUCGCA